UACGAAGGGGGCUAGCGUUGCUCGGAAUCACUGGGCGUAAAGCGCACGUAGGCGGCUUCUAAGUCAGGGGUGAAAUCCCGGAGCUCAACUCCGGAACUGCCUUUGAUACUGGAAAGCUUGAGUUCGGGAGAGGUGAGUGGAACUGCGAGUGUAGAGGUGAAAUUCGUAGAUAUUCGCAAGAACACCAGUGGCGAAGGCGGCUCACUGGCCCGAUACUGACGCUGAGGUGCGAAAGCGUGGGGAGCAAACAGG
rnacentral:rRNA from 1 species